AAAAAAUAACAAUAAAUACGAGGCCGAGGAAAAAAUGCCACAAACUCGUAAAUAUAUAUUUUUUAGAAUUCUUUUUAACUGGGCUCGGUUUUGGUUUUCGGUUUCCGAGGCCCAGCAAAAAAGUUCAAGGUAAUUGCCGUUGUCAAAGCAGCAAAGCAACGAAAAGUGGGCGGGCCCCGUGAAAACUUGGCCAACAAUUUAUGGGCCACUUGACUACAAGCAAAGGGUGUUGAGGUUGCACGCGAGCAAUCACCAGAACCAGAACCAGAACCCGAACCAUAUCGAGGUGUAUAUAGUCUGGAAAAGGGGCCCCUGCCCACACGUGCAAUUAUAUAUAUCAGUCGGUCUUCAGCGUUUCCUUCAUGGGCGGCAAAUUUAUGUGUCUCUAUAGGCCCGACCCACAAAAUGAAGUUGUCUAGUCGCGACACCUGCUCAGGAUUCAGAUUUAGCCGAGUCUCGGUGGCCAUUCGAGGGUGGCAUCUUGAGGAGGAGGAUUCGGUGCCGGUGUCCCCCCUUUGUUUGUUGCUCUGAUAGCGAACCUUUUUACAAAUAUUUUCAUUGGACAGCAGCUCAGGAGAGGAAUUCGGUCAACAUGUUGCUGGUUAUGUCAGUCAACAGGAAAAAAGCCAAGUGAAAAGUAUUUAAGUACAUAAUUAAUAACGCACUUCCUUAGGUUUAAUCAUAUUGCAUUUUAACGCUGGUAAAUUACUCGAAGGAAUAGGUAUUAAAAUAAAGAAAACAAUAGACUUUACU